CGAAAGCCUGACGGAGCAACGCCGCGUGGGGGAAGAAGGUUCUUGGAUUGUAAACCCCUUUUCUCAGGGAAGAAGAUCUGACGGUACUUGAGGAAUCAGCAUCGGCUAACUCCGUGCCAGCAGCCGCGGUAAGACGGAGGAUGCAAGCGUUAUCCGGAAUUAUUGGGCGUAAAGCGUCCGCAGGGGGCGCAUCAAGUCUGCUGUUAAAGGCUGGAGCUCAACUCCGGUAGAGCAGUGGAAACUGGUGCGCUAGAGGGCGACAGGGGUAGAGGGAAUUCCCAGUGUAGCGGUGAAAUGCGUAGAGAUUGGGAAGAACACCGGUGGCGAAAGCGCUCUACUGGGUCGCACCUGACCCUCAGGGACGAAAGCUAAGGUAGCG
rnacentral:rRNA from 1 species